rnacentral:tRNA from 1 species
UGGAGCAUGGCGUAGUUUGGUAACGUCCCUUCUUGGGGGGAUGGAUAUCGUGGGUUCCCACCCCGCGUGCUCCAA